ACGAGUGGCGAACGGGUGAGUAACACGUGAGUAACCUGCCCACAACUUUGGGAUAACGCUAGGAAACUGGUGCUAAUACUGGAUAUGUGCUCCUGCUGCAUGGUGGGGGUUGGAAAGCUCCGGCGGUUUGGGAUGGACUCGCGGCUUAUCAGCUUGUUGGUGGGGUAGUGGCUUACCAAGGCUUUGACGGGUAGCCGGCCUGAGAGGGUGACCGGCCACAUUGGGACUGAGAUACGGCCCAG
rnacentral:rRNA from 1 species